rnacentral:rRNA from 1 species
CACGUAGGCACCAAGCGUUGUCCGGAUUUAUUGGGCGUAAAGAGCUCGUAGGCGGUUCGGUAAGUCGGGUGUGAAAACUUUGGGCUCAACCCAAAGCCUGCACUCGAUACUGCUGUGACUUGAGUCCGGUAGGGGAGUGGGGAAUUCCUGGUGUAGCGGUGGAAUGCGCAGAUAUCAGGAGGAACACCGGUGGCGAAGGCGCCACUCUAGUACGGUACUGACGCUGAGACGCGAAAGCGUGGGGAGCGAACAGG